UACCCAGCACUGAGGACGGUAUUUGUCACAACCCACUUAACCUGACAAUAAUACCAGGGGUCAGGAGUUUCCAGAUGAGGAAACUGAGGCAGGAUAGGAGCUCCUCUGACGAGGACCCCAAGCAGAAACGCAGCGGGCUCCCCAGCUCUGAGCCAGAAUCAGUACCCCAGGGCCCCACUGGGAGGCUGUAGGCACCUCCUCGGCCCCUCCCCGACCCAUGUUCCCAGUGCACCUGGGGCCGAUCAGCUCGGGGAAGGGGCCACAUCGAUUCCUGCCACCUGCCUGUGCCGGAGCUGUCUGCACGCUCAGAAACCAUCGGCUUCCCAUUAGGCAGAUCAGUAGCUUCCACUGGUUUCCAAUUUGUGUUUCCAGAAAUUUAUCACCCAACCACCUUUUUAAUUACCCCCCUCCACCACACCUGGGGCACAGAUACACCACUCGCCCUGGGCCACCUCUGCAGACCACAGACCACGACGCUCUGCGAGCCACAGGGGAGCUGCAGGUGUGUUUAAAGCUGACCAGCUGCUUCCCGGUCACCGCAGGAGCUGACCCUGCUGGCUGGAUGCCAUCCACUCUGUCCCCUGCUCCUCGCUGAACCCCCGUGGAAGGGGCUGGAUCCUCCCUCACAGAAAGAAAGCAGGUGAUGAGAGGCCAAGGCAGUGUCCUGAGGUCCCCCAGCUGGCAAGAGCUAGGACAAGUGCACCUUUGAGGCAGGCAAUUGGCAAAGCGCUCCCCCAGAUGCCGCAGGACAAUGGGGUCUGGCUGGCAGCUGUCCUCGAGGCGGGCAAAACUAGUGUAUGCAUUUGAUAGGUGGGAAGACUGAGGCCCCGAGAGGUUCAGUGACUUCCCCAAGGUCACACGGCGAGUCAGCGGUAGAGCUGCGAUCUGAACCUGACUCUGGAACUGCACUCCACGCUCCCUUACCUAUUCCCGGUGGCCUCGGCUCUGAAGGGCAGGAACUGGGUCCUGUGGCCCUUGGAACCUCCACCAUAUAUACCAUCAUGUAAACGUGUUUGUUGAGUGAAUAAAUGAGUGAAUUAUG